rnacentral:rRNA from 1 species
GACGAACGCUGGCGGCGUGCUUAACACAUGCAAGUCGAACGAUGAAGCGGUUGCUUGCUCUCGUUGAUGAGUGGCGAACGGGCGAGUAACAGGUGAGUAACCUGUCCUAUUUUUUGGGAUAACGGCUGGAAACGGCUGCUAAUACUGGAUAUUCAGCCUCCCUCGCUUGGGGCGGUUUGGAAAGGUUUUUUCUGGGAAUGGGUGGGCUCGCGGCCUAUCAGCUUGUUGGUGGGGUGAUGGCUCACCAAGGCGUUGACGGGUAGGCGGCCUGAGAGGGUGGUCGGUCACACUGGGACUGAGAUACGGCCCAGACUCCUACGGGAGGCAGCAGUGGGGAAUAUUGCACAAUGGACGAAAGUUUGAUGCAGCGACGCCGCGUGGAGGGUGUAGGCCUUCGGGUUGUGAACUCCUUUAUCUAGCGAAAAAGGCACAGAUUUGGCUGUGUUGAUGGUAGUGGGAGAAGAAGCGCCGGCUAACUACGUG